CUGAGUCUCAGAGUGGAAUAACUUGCCCAGGAUCCAGCAGCCAGCCAGAGCCGGAGCCGGGAUUAGAACCCAGGUCUGCCUGACUCCAGUGCCCGGGGCCUUUCCCUGCGCUUGGUCUCUGGUUUCUGGUUGCAACUUGAGGAAAGAAAACACAUGUGAAGUCUCCUAACAGAAGAACAAAUCACUGAGCAGAAAUCGGCCAGCAGGCAGAUGUCCUGGGGCUCAUAGGAUGAAGAGGCAACUCGAGAAUCUGCUAGGCAUUGACUUUUCAAGAGUUGGCACCCAGGGGAUUCCAGAUACAAGAGGAGUUCGGAAAGCUCUUUAGAAGGACGGACAUGUCUCUCAGCCUUGCUGAUUCCAGUUCCUGUGGAGGAUAUGGGUUUAGAUUCCCCAGGUGAUUCUAAUGCACCACCACUGUCUCUACCACAUUUCUUGGCACUGACUUGAAUAGUUCACUACUUCAUAAAUACUUAGAUGUGAGGCCUGGUUUUUAUUAUCUGCAACUUGAGAACGUGCUUCUCUAGGCCUCACUUUCCUCACAGGUCAAGCAGGGAUACUCUGCUCUAAUUCACACAAUUGUGGUGAAGUUUCAACAAGGCAAGGCAGUUAGGGCACAGGAGCCACUUAUAAAAUUACUCUGUCUUAUAGGGACUCUGAAAUAGCACCCUGCACCGCACUGAGUCCAUAGCAGGUGUUUUACUGCAAAACUGCACCAUGAUUUGUGGGUCCAGGUUGGUGUGGUGAGCGCACUGGCUGCUUUUCUCAGACAAUGAGCUUGUCUUCCCACAGGUGUGAACAGGAAUGGGCACAGCCCUGGUUUCCACACAGAUAUGGGCUCACAGGUACAUGGAGGAUACGCCC